GACAAUGGGCGCAAGCCUGAUCCAGCAAUGCCGCGUGCAGGAUGAAGGCCUUCGGGUUGUAAACUGCUUUUGUACGGAACGAAAAGCCCUGGGUUAAUACCCUGGGGUCAUGACGGUACCGUAAGAAUAAGCACCGGCUAACUACGUGCCAGCAGCCGCGGUAAUACGUAGGGUGCGAGCGUUAAUCGGAAUUACUGGGCGUAAAGCGUGCGCAGGCGGUUUUGUAAGACAGAGGUGAAAUCCCCGGGCUCAACCUGGGAACUGCCUUUGUGACUGCAAGGCUAGAGUACGGCAGAGGGGGAUGGAAUUCCGCGUGUAGCAGUGAAAUGCGUAGAUAUGCGGAGGAACACCGAUGGCGAAGGCAAUCCCCUGGGCCUGUACUGACGCUCAUGCACGAAAGCGUGGGGAGCAAACAGGAUUAGAUACCCUGGUAGUCCACGCCCUAAACGAUGUCAACUGGUUGUUGGGUCUUAACUGACUCAGUAACGAAGCUAACGCGUGAAGUUGACCGCCUG
rnacentral:rRNA from 1 species